rnacentral:rRNA from 1 species
AUUGAACGCUGGCGGAAUGCCUUACACAUGCAAGUCGAACGGCAGCACGGACUUCGGUCUGGUGGCGAGUGGCGAACGGGUAAGUAAUGUAUCGGAACGUGCCCAGUCGUGGGGGAUAACGUAGUGAAAAUUACGCUAGUACCGCAUACGAUCUAUGGAUGAAAGCGGGGGAUCGCAAGACCUCGCGCGAUUGGAGCGGCCGAUAUCAGAUUAGGUAGUUGGUGGGGUAAAGGCCCACCAAGCCAACGAUCUGUAGCUGGUCUGAGAGGACGACCAGCCACACUGGAACUGAGACACGGUCCAGACUCCUACGGGAGGCAGCAGUGGGGAAUUUUGGACAAUGGGCGAAAGCCUGAUUCAGCCAUUCCGCGUGCAGGAUGAAGGCCCUCGGGUUGUAAACUGCUUUUGUACAGAACGAAACGGUUUCUACUAAUACUAGGAGCUCAUGACGGUACUGUAAGAAUAAGCACCGGCUAACUACGUGCCAGCCGCCGCCGUAA